UUGUGUAUUAAACAUUUUAUUUGUUUACGGAAAAAGUGGGGUAAUAUUUUGAUAGUUUGAUUUUUGCUAGUCUUUUAUGUGAUGAGAAUGUUUUAUGGAAGAGGGUGUCUUAGUGAAUAUUUUAAAUAUAAAUUAUUUAGUUUAAAGGUUUCAGUACAGAAUUUUAAGUUUAUAGGUGAAAGCUGAACUUAGUUUUAAGUUAGGGGUCAAGGUUAAAUUUGUGCCAGCAGCCGCGGUUAUACUUAUGUGGCCAAUAGAAGAAUAGUAGGUCCGUAGUUAUUAUUUUUAAUUUUAACAGGGUUUGUUAAUAAAGCGAUAAGAGGUGAAAUUGGAACUAUAAUUGGUUACUCUGUUAGUAUAAUUUUAUAAGAAGCUACUAAAACUGAAAUUAUAAAAUAGGAUUAGAUACCCUAGUAUACUUAGUUAAAAGAUUUUGGGAGGCCUAGUUAGUAUUAGUUAUUUUCUUGAAAUUUAGAGAAUUUGGCGGUAUCUUAGUCUAGUUAGAGGAACCUGUCCCAUAAACGAUAAACCACGAAUAAUCUUACUUUCCCUUAUAAGUGUUUAGUAUGUAUAUCAUCAUUAUUAGAUAAUUUUAAGAAGAAUUUAUUAAAAUUGAUUUUAAAUCAAAGACAUUAGAUCAAGGUGCAGCCAAUGGGUAAGUGAGGAUGGGUUACAUUAAUUUUGAAGUAAACGGAUCAGUUGGGUGUAAAGACUUUGUCAAGGUGGAUUUAAUAGUAAUUCAAUUUUAAUAAGGUUGUUUGGUAAAAGCUCUAGGAUAUGUACACAUCGCCCGUCGCUCUCAUAAAAUUAACGUGAGAUAAGUCGUAACAUAGUAGGUGUACUGGAAAGUGUACCUGUGAAGUUAAAAG
rnacentral:ncRNA from 1 species